rnacentral:rRNA from 1 species
GACGAACGCUGGCGGCGUGCCUAAUACAUGCAAGUAGAACGCUGAAGGAGGAGCUUGCUUCUCCGGAUGAGUUGCGAACGGGUGAGUAACGCGUAGGUAACCUGCCUGGUAGCGGGGCAUAACUAUUGGAAACGAUAGCUAAUACCGCAUAACAGUAGAUAUUGCAUGAUAUCUGCUUGAAAGGUGCAAUUGCAUCACUACCAGAUGGACCUGCGUUGUAUUAGCUAGUUGGUGAGGUAACGGCUCACCAAGGCGACGAUACAUAGCCGACCUGAGAGGGUGAUCGGCCACACUGGGACUGGGACACGGCCCAGACUCCUACGGGAGGCAGCAGUAGGGAAUCUUCGGCAAUGGACGGAAGUCUGACCGAGCAACGCCGCGUGAGUGAAGAAGGUUUUCGGAUCGUAAAGCUCUGUUGUAAGAGAAGAACGAGUGUGAGAGUGGAAAGUUCACACUGUGACGGUAUCUUACCAGAAAGAGACGGCUAACUACGUG